UGAACGCUGGCGGAAUGCUUUACACAUGCAAGUCGAACGGCAAGACGAGUAGCAAUACGAGUCCUAGAGUAGCGUAAGGGUGCGUAACACGUAUGCAAUCUGCCCGCAACAGGAGUAUAGCUCCCCGAAAGGGGAAUUAAUGCUCCAUAGGACCAUUUGAGGGCAUCUGAGGAUGGUUAAACCUGAGGGGGUUGCGGAUGAGCAUGCGCAUGAUUGGCUAGUUGGUGAGGUAACGGCUCACCAAGGCGAUGAUCAUUAGGGGAACUGAGAGGUUGAUCCCCCACACUGGCACUGAGAUACGGGCCAGACUCCUACGGGAGGCAGCAGUAGGGAAUAUUGGUCAAUGGGUGAGAGCCUGAACCAGCCAUGCCGCGUGCAGGAAGAAGGCCUUCUGGGUUGUAAACUGCUUUUAUCAGGGGAUAAAACACUGUGCGCAGUGGAUUGAAGGUACCUGAGGAAUAAGCCACGG
rnacentral:rRNA from 1 species